rnacentral:tRNA from 1 species
ACUUUCUUAGUAUAAUUAGUACAACUGACUUCCAAUCAGUUAGAUCUAGAAACUAACUAGAAGAAAGUAA